AGAGUGUAUGGUAAAUUGGUUCAGUGUUUGUUUAAAUUCCACUUCCUCUCAUGUUCGAUCCAUGCCCCCAUCUAUUUUUUUGGCCCGACUUUUCCUUCUAGAGCGACACACGUGUCGUUUGCCCCACUCCCACAUUUUUUUCAUUACGUGUUCUGUUCCUGUAAAACCUUCUGCCACACAUCAAAAUCCACCGCCCCUUCUCACUUCUCCCGUUUCUUCUGAUUUUCCACAGACAAUGACACUCUUGACCGGUGGUUUUGUUAUGAUGCGUCGCAGCAACAUAAAUGAUGGUUUCGCAGCGGCGAUGACAACGACGGGAAGAAUCGAUGGCGGUUUUGGGGUACCGUCUACGGCGGCGGCGCAAAGGUGCAACUUUUGCAGAUGACUUUUUUGUAUAAGGUGAUAUAUCGAUGUAGAUGGUUGUUGCAGGUCUAGAAAGGCAUCGUGAUUAUGUUAUAUUGUGAAAAACCUAGGGUUACAUUAUCAUUUUGAGCUGCAUAAAGGUUUUGGGUGAUAUUUAUUCUAUUUCCUCGAUGUGAAUUGAAGUUAUAAUUUCAUUAAGGAUUUGGAGAGUCAGCCGGCGCCUCGGGUGAUAGCGGCUUUCGAUAGUGAUUCCGGUAACGAUAGAAUUUCUACAGAAAGGGUGUGGGUUCGAGUCCUCUUUUGGCUUUUUUUAUCCCGUAUUUAUUUGUGCGACACGUGUUACGAUGCGAGAGAGAGGGGGCGGCACCGGCCGUUUUCCGGCGUCCGGUAGCCCAGGCGCCACCUCCGGCGAUGGCGGUUAGGGUUCCUUCAAAGUUUCGGUGAACCCUUUUCACUUUGGUUCAUCUGAGGAGUCACCAACGGUUAAGUAUUUAAUUCCGAUAUUUGUACUCCCUCUAUUGGACUUUUGUAGCUUUGUUUUUUUUUAUUUCUUUGAUUACAGGUGAGAGUGGAAUCGAGAUGAUUAACAGGUUCGAUGCGUCCAAGUUUCCGACCCGGUUUGGUGGGCAGAUACGUGGGUUUAAGGCUAAUGGGUGUAUUGAUGCUAAGAAUGACUGGAGACGUGAUGAUUGUUUGAGAUAUUGCAUUGUUGCUGGUAAAAAAGCCCUUGAAGAUGCUGAUCUUGCUGCUGAUAAACGCUCCAAGCCACCAAAAAACUUGGCUAAAAAAAUUUCAGAGGAAUGGAGGAUUCUUGCGAGGGAAGAUGAUGUAGUGGUGUGGCCAAACUCCAGUAGCGGCGCAACAUGAACAGGCCAUACCAAGGGUUCCCGGGUUAUCUGGCUGACUUCUGGUCAACUUAACACAUUUCAUUCGAAACUAUUAUUACCGGCCUGCUUACUGCUCUGCUUAAUUAAGUACCAUGGUUCGGAUUUUGGCAGCUCCAGUGGGCAUCGAAUACCUAAUGUGUUCAGGCCUUCAUCAAAGCUCAAAGCUGGUCAACGUGACUAUUCGGAAGUCGGUGAGUAUUUGGGAAGGCUAUGAAAACGAUUAAGAUAAAGAUGGCAAAAAGAGAAGAGACACAUCCAAGUUCUAUGAUGAAGAUUGUGUAGAGUUGCCACUUGGUUAACGUAUUGAUUGAUGCAGCAGAGUUUCUUUUAAUUGUUCUUAAUAGGUAAAUUAAGUAGGAUUUCGUUUAAUUGUUCUUAAAAGGUAAAUUAAGAUGCCUCACGUUGGGUUCGUUGGAUUUCCUUUUGAUUGUUCAUAAUUUGUAAGCCCCCCGCCGCAACGCGGCGGGAGAAAAACCUAGUGAUGUGAAUUUACCAACCACUUGUAGCAACAAAAACAUUCGAAAUUGCAAUCAUUCAAAUUUCAGGUUCUUUAUUCA